rnacentral:rRNA from 1 species
GACGAACGCUGGCGGCGUGCUUAACACAUGCAAGUCGAACGGAAAGGCCCCUUCGGGGGUACUCGAGUGGCGAACGGGUGAGUAACACGUGAGUAACCUGCCCUUGACUUCGGGAUAACUUCAGGAAACUGGGGCUAAUACCGGAUAGGAAUCCUUGCUGCAUGGUGGGGGUUGGAAAGCUUCGGCGGUUUUGGAUGGACUCGCGGCUUAUCAGCUUGUUGGUGGGGUAGUGGCUUACCAAGGCUUUGACGGGUAGCCGGCCUGAGAGGGCGACCGGCCACAUUGGGACUGAGAUACGGCCCAGACGCCUACGGGAGGCAGCAGUGGGGAAGAUUGCACAAUGGGCGGAAGCCUGAUGCAGCAACGCCGCGUGCGGGAUGACGGCCUUCGGGUUGUAAACCGCUUUCAGCAGGGGCGAAGCUUGUGGUGACGGUACCUGCAGAAGAAGCACCGGCUAACUACGUG